rnacentral:rRNA from 1 species
CGUAGGAGGCAAGCGUUAUCCGGAUUCACUGGGCGUAAAGCGCGUGCAGGCGGUUCGGUAAGUUGGGCGUGAAAUCUCCUGGCUUAACUAGGAGAGGCCGUUCAAUACUACCGGGCUAGAGAGCAGUAGAGGAAGAUGGAAUUCCCGGUGUAGUGGUGAAAUGCGUAGAUAUCGGGAGGAACACCAGUGGCGAAAGCGAUCUUCUGGACUGUUUCUGACGCUCAGACGCGAAAGCUAGGGUAGUAAACGGGAUUAGAGACCCCGGUAAUCCUAGCUGUAAACGAUGUAAACUUGGCGUCGGUGGCUUAAACUCCGUCGGUGCCGCAGCAAACGCGAUAAGUUUACCGCCUGGGGACUACGAUCGCAAGAUUA